GCCGGUGUGAUGGAAUGGUAGACGUGAAGCACUCAAAAUGCUUUGCCCAUUGGGCGUGCCGGUUCGAGUCCGGCCACCGGCACCA
rnacentral:tRNA from 1 species